rnacentral:rRNA from 1 species
UACAGAGGUCCCAAGCGUUGUUCGGAUUCAUUGGGCGUAAAGCGUGCGCAGGCGGCUUUGCAAGACAGAUGUGAAAUCCCCGGGCUUAACCUGGGAACUGCAUUUGUGACUGCAUGGCUAGAGUGCGGCAGAGGGGGAUGGAAUUCCGCGUGUAGCAGUGAAAUGCGUAGAUAUGCGGAGGAACACCGAUGGCGAAGGCAAUCCCCUGGGCCGGCACUGACGCUCAUGCACGAAAGCGUGGGGAGCAAACAGG